UAAAGAUGAAUCUCCACAUGAUGUGGGAGC
rnacentral:piRNA from 1 species